AUGAAGCCUACUGCGAGUUCCUCUCCUAAUUUAUCCUCCAUCCUAACACACCAACAGUCCUUGACUUUAGUCUACUGGUUAAAUGAGGAAAGAAGUAAUAAGCAGACUAUCAGUUCCUUGAAGACAGGCGUCUUUUCUGCUGUGGACAUAUCUCAUGCCCAGCGCCUAGAACAGAGCACAGCAUAGAGGGCGUCUGCAUAAACACCUGAGAGAAAGAGGGAGAGAGCUGAAGGAAGGACAGACAAGAGAUCUUGAAGACAAGCAUAGUAAUCAAGACUGUGGGCACUCUAGGUUGGCUGCCAAGAUUUUACUCCCAGCUCCACCAAGUGGCAUGCUGCCCACCCUCCCUAGGCCUCAGUCUCAUCUUCUGAAAAUGGGAAUAGUAUGACCUACCUCAAAAGCCCUUUGGAGGGGAUAAAAUGAACUGAUAUAUGUAAGACUCUCAAUGCCUAGAACCGAAUAAGCACUCACUAAAACUGAGGUUAUUGUUAAACAAGGCUAUACCAAGCCUUUUUCUAUCCAAUUCAGGGAGAAUCAUGACAAGAUCUUAGCACACAAUGAGUUUGUUCUUCCUCCUACAGACACCUAGAAUAACAAUGUCUAACUUAGCUGAUGCCGCUGACAUCGGUUUACAAGCUUGGAAGCCGUCCCGUGAUUCUAAUACCUUCUUAAAAGAAUUCCUGGGGAUAUGAGGUAGUGUGGUAGGCAAAAUCCAUUUGGAUGCCUGGGAAUUCUUGUUCUCUGAUCCUCUAUUGAGGAUGCUUGUUUUCCCAACUAGAGAGAUUUACUCUUGACCAUCUUCAACUCGCUUCAAGUCCCAUUGAAUCUUUUCAUCAUUUGGAUGUUUAUAAAUCACACCUCGAUUUGCUGAUUAGGAAUCUAUUUGAUUUCCUCACCUUUCCUAGAAUUGCGUACUCCCUAUUCUAUGUGUAGAUCUCAUUCAUCGUGUAACAACCAAUUCAAGGGCAUGCGUUAUACUUCAAACUCCCUUUAUAAAAUUUCAAUGGCAAAGGCAAUGAACAUCUCAGAAGUCCAUUUCUAAUUUUUACCAUUAAAGCAACUGGUGUAAAUUAUGGGCAUCAGAAGAAAUAAUAAGCACCUAAAAUGAGAAAUGAAUACAGAUAAAGCAUACAUUCCUGCCUAUUUGAAGUAGGCUUGGCCAGGUGACUUGCUUUGGCCAAUGGAAUGCUACCAGGCAAGAAACCAGGAGAGGCUUUCAAUGGGCUUGCAUCGGUUCUUCUUCUUCAUUCUUCCAUGAGAAGGACACGCCAGUCCCAGAAUAGCAAAGGCACAGGAGUAGAUCUUGCCCAUAAUAUUUAGAUUAACAAAAAGGAAAGCAAAAACGUACUUUGAUGUACAAAAUAAUCGAUAAUAACAUCUUUUUAAAAAAAAGAUCUGGUGUAAAAUUUGAUUCCAAUAGCCUUCUUGGCAAAGAGAUUUCCUGUUACUAUUUAAAUGUAAAUGAAUCAUGAAGGUUGUGUCAAAAAUAUUUAACUCAAAACCAGACCCAGUACAGCAAGAAAGACAGAGAACAAAGCCCAACCAAGCAAGUGGAAAUAAAAAUGUUCGAGUUUCCA
rnacentral:lncRNA from 1 species